GAUGAACGCUGGCGGCGUGCUUAACACAUGCAAGUCGAACGGUGAACGAGGGAGCUUGCUCCCUCCGGAUCAGUGGCGAACGGGUGAGUAACACGUGAGCAAUCUGCCCUGGACUCUGGGAUAAGCGUUGGAAACGACGUCUAAUACCGGAUACGAGGCGUGGGGGCAUCCCCAACGCCUGGAAAGAACUUCGGUCCAGGAUGAGCUCGCGGCCUAUCAGCUAGUUGGUGAGGUAACGGCUAACCAAGGCGACGACGGGUAGCCGGCCUGAGAGGGUGACCGGCCACACUGGGACUGAGACACGGCCCAGACUCCUACGGGAGGCAGCAGUGGGGAAUAUUGCAGAAUGGGCGCAAGCCUGAUGCAGCAACGCCGCGUGAGGGACGACGGCCUUCGGGUUGUAAACCUCUUUUAGCAGGGAAGAAGCGAAAGUGACGGUACCUGCAGAAAAAGCACCGACUAACUACGUGCCAGCCGCCGCGGUAACAC
rnacentral:rRNA from 1 species